UAGGCCCAAACUGAGUCCAAGGCCAAACAAAAAAAAAGACUGGUCCAAGUGAAUCAAACUUCAUCAUCCAAAACAAAAAUUUCUUAUAAAUAAGCUUCCAAAAACGCUUAUGGGAAAAAGAAGAAACACAAACGAAAUUCACCAAGUCGAAAAAUCGCUCAUCAGAAAAAAUUCAGAGCAAAAAAAGGAUUGCAUCUACGGCUUCUCGGAUCCACAUUUGUAGUCGUGUUCUUCACCCUCUAUUCACAUUCAAUUCAAAGCAUCGUGUUCAUUUCGUGGAUCACCAUUCAUCAGUAUCGCGCUUUUGGAUUGACGACAUCGUUGCUCAUCAUGCGCUUGGCUCAUCAUCUUCUUCGUUCGUGAAUUCGCCUUUGCGCACUCUGAUUGAAGCAUCUCAAUCAUUCCAAGAUUUAAAUUGAAUUGAAGAACUCACCAAUUUCGACGCGGCGACGAAAACAGGUCAAAAAAUUUGGUGUAGCUUUGGACCCGUUAUGUAAUGGAUGAAAUAAUUUGGAUAGUUUAAGAACUUCCUAUACAGGAAGUUAAAUGACUGUAAAAAUUAAGGGUUGGGAUUUGGGAUAUGAUUUUGUUAGAAGUUAGGGAUUGUAAAUUACAUUGAUGUAUAUGAUAGAAAAAUUGAUUGUAAAACAAAGGGUUGUGAUUGAAAUUGUGAAUGGGAUUAUGCAUAUUCAAGUUAUAAAAUUGAGUUUGAAUGGAAUGUUAUUAAA